GCCGCCCGCCGCCUCGUAGUCGGGGUAGGAGCUGCUCAGGGCGCCCGGCUCGUCCGCCACCGUGGAGCUGUCAUCCCAGUCGUCGUCCCAGUCGUCAUCGCUGCCCUGGCUGGGCUGAUGACAGCAGUCAGAAUGGCAUCUGACAUGGAAGUGCAUAUGAACCAGAGACUCAUGAAAUGAACGGGUGGAAGUGGAUGGAGAGCAAACAGCGGAUGUGAGCACAGUGAGGUGGUGGGUGGUGCAUUUCAGCAGUGGCAGCAGUGACAGUGGGGCACCUCUGCUGGUGCAUAUCCUGACAGGUUGAACUACAGGAAAUUAGUUCCUGAUCUGCCUUUUCUGUACCGCUGUUUUGUUUGUGUUUUACUGCAUCUUUUUCUACUUCUCUCCCAAACUUUAUUUUAAUAUUAAUUUUUAAUUCUCUUAGCUGUUAUUGUUGUUUCCUCUGAAAUAGUCUAUUUUUUUUUCCCCCCACAUAAUUUGAUCGGUACUGGAAAUAAUGCUGACCGACUCGAGUUGUGUAGAUGUUGGAGUGACAGAUGCCUUUCCCCGCCGCAAAAUCAGCUGAGGAAUUGGAUUUUGCUGCCCCAAGUGGUGCAGAAGCUUAUUAUCAAAAUUUUGAGAACAUGAAGGAGAAGGUGUGUCAGACAGCACAGAGGUGAAUCUGAACAACUUGCCCAGUGUCACUCACCACACUGAACACAUCGUGCCUGAUUUGCAGCACACACAGGAAACCAUAGAAUAAUUUGGGAAGUGCUGCCGAACUGCUCUGUGCAAAACUGGUUUGAAGUGAGGCAAGUAGUUACAGAUGCCUUGCACUUGUCACGCGUGCUUUCUUUUGCUGAUAGCACAUGUUUAUAGCUUCAGGUUUUUGUUUGUUUGUUUGUUUUUGUUGUUUUUUUUCCUGGACUGUUGAAAAAUAUUACAUCCAUUGGCAAUUUGCAACAGCUAUGCAUGAGAAAAAUAGCGUUAGUUAUAAGUGUGUCACACCGACAUCUUGUGGUGAAACAGGAAAACAGCUGCUAAAAUAAAAAAUCCUGCAGUCUGUGAAAUGUUUGUACAGGAAGGAAACCUACAAGAUUUAAACUUAUAACAGGGUAUUUGCAAGCUAAUAUAAGCUCAUUUCCUAGUAAUUUGGAGGGGGGAAUAAAUAUUUGAUUGAUGUUGCACUCAUGGAAAAUAGAGAAAGCAGAAAUCCUGAUAGAGAUGUAUUGUAAACUGAAAAACGUAAUGUGCUUGAGCUCAUGAGAAAAUAUUUUUUGUGUGCACAUUUUAAAGAAACAGAAACAUGACAACAACUUCAAUAUAAUAGAUUGCUUUGUUGCAA